rnacentral:rRNA from 1 species
GACAGAGGGUGCAAACGUUGUUCGGAAUACUGGGCGUAAAGCGCGAGUGUAGGCGUGCUUGGCAAGUCGGAUGUGAAAGCCCUGGGCUCAACCCAGGAAGUGCAUUCGAAACUGCCGAGCUGGAGUCCUGGAGAGGAAGGCGGAAUCUCGGUGUAGAGGUGAAAUUCGUAGAUAUCGAGAGGAACACCGGUGGCGAAGGCG